rnacentral:rRNA from 1 species
CACGUAGGGGCUAGCGUUGUCCGGAAUCAUUGGGCGUAAAGCGCGUGUAGGCGGCCACACAGGUCCGCUGUGAAAACUCCAGGCUCAACCUGGAGAUGCCACUCGAGACUGCUAUGGCUAGAGUCCGGUAGGGACCACGGAUUCCUGGUGUAGCGGUGAAAUGCGCAGAUAUCAGGAGGAACACCGGUGGCGAAGGCGGGAUCUCUGGCCGAUGACUGACGCUGGAGGAGCGAAAGCGUGGGGAGCAAACAGGA